GUCUAAGGCGAUAGCGCCCUGAACGGCCCUAUCUCAUCUGAUCUCGGAAGCUAAGCAGGGUCGGGCCUGGUUAGUACUUGGGUCGGGAGACCGCCUGGGUAUACCGGGUGCUGUAGGCU
rnacentral:rRNA from 1 species